GAUGAACGCUGGCGGCGUGCCUAAUACAUGCAAGUCGAGCGAAGCGGGGACGGGUGAGUAACACGUGGAUAACCUCCUAUAAGACUGGGAUCACUUCAGGUAACCGGAGCUAAACCGGAUCCUUAUAGAUGGAUCCGCGCUGCAUUAGCUAGUUGGUAAGGUAACGGCGCACCAAGGCAACGAUGCAUAGCCGACCUGAGAGGGUGAUGGGCAAAACUGGAACUGAGACACGGUCCAGACUCCUACGGUAGGCAGCAGUAGGGAAUCUUCCGCAAUGGGCGAAAGCCUGACGGAGCAACGCCGCGUGAGUGAUGAAGGUCUUCGGAUCGUAAAACUCUGUUAUUAGGGAAGCGGUACCUAAUCAGAAAGCCACGGCUAACUACGUGCCAGCAGCCGCGGUAAUAC
rnacentral:rRNA from 1 species